rnacentral:lncRNA from 1 species
UUUUAAUCACGCCCUAAAUUCUUCAGGCACCCUGGGACCAGCUGGAAUACAGGACAAGCACCAGGGAGACAGAGAACACCAGCUUCAUCGGCUUGGCGGUCAGUGCCCAUUUCCACCUGUAACGACAUGAGGACGUGCAUGCAGUUGGGACAGACAUUUUCCUCUCAGAACCUUUAUAACUACGGACCAUCUCUACUCGUCACACUUCCUCAUUACAUAUUGAAGCUGGAAUUGGCCCGUG